UACGUAGGGGGCAAGCGUUGUCCGGAUUUAUUGGGCGUAAAGAGCGUGUAGGCGGUUCGGUAGGUCCGUUGUGAAAACUCGAGGCUCAACCUCGAGACGCCGAUGGAAACCCCCGAACUAGAGUCCGGAAGAGGAGAGUGGAAUUCCUGGUGUAGCGGUGAAAUGCGCAGAUAUCAGGAGGAACACCGGUGGCGAAGGCGGAUCUCUGGGCCAUAACUGACGCUGAGGAGCGAAAGCAUGGGGAGCGAACAGG
rnacentral:rRNA from 1 species